GACAAACGCUGGCGGCGUGCUUAACACAUGCAAGUCGAACGAGGAUACUCAAGGAGCAAUCUGAGGGUAUUCGAGUGGCGGACGGGUGAGUAACGCGUGAGCAACCUGUCUUCUACAGGGGGAUAACGCACCGAAAGGUGUGCUAAUACCGCAUAAGACCACGGUUCCGCAUGGAACAGGGGUCAAAGGAGCAAUCCGGUAGAAGGUGGGCUCGCGUCCCAUUAGAUAGUUGGUGAGGUAACGGCCCACCAAGUCGACGAUGGGUAGCCGACCUGAGAGGGUGAUCGGCCACAUUGGAACUGAGAUACGGUCCAGACUCCUACGGGAGGCAGCAGUGGGGAAUAUUGGGCAAUGGGCGCAAGCCUGACCCAGCAACGCCGCGUGAGGGAAGAAGGUCUUCGGAUUGUAAACC
rnacentral:rRNA from 1 species